rnacentral:lncRNA from 1 species
CAAAGCCCACAUGAAGUUAGAAAACAAAAAAAUUCCUUGAGUCUUGGCUGUAGGACCUGACUUUCCGGGACCCUCACUUAAGAUCUCAAAGACUCCAUGUGUGGGAAACCCUACACUUUCAGGCAAAAUCUGACAUUGCAUUCACCUGUGCCGGCCCUGGCCAGGGGAACUCCAGGACGACAGCGACAGCUCCAGAGGAGAGCGUUCUCAGAGCUGGGACGGCUGCUCCCAGCGGACAGCCACCGCCAACCCCAGCGACCCAGCGAGGGUGCUGUAUUGGAACCGGGUGCCAUUAAGUGGGCAGAACAGGUGUGCAGGCAGUGCCCUUCCAGGGCUCAAGGGCAGGGGAAGCCCACUCCUGCCGCUGUUCUCCCAGGGCCCAGCAACACCUCACACCUCCCCACCCGUCUCUCCACCUUAUUUUGCCCAAACAGCUCCUGAGAGGCUGGAAUGGCCUCUGUCCACUGCACCCCCAGCCCAGGCACCUUCCCCUAACUCCUCAGCAGCGCCCCCCAGUGCCCCCACCCCCCUAACCUCCCCGCCUCGAGGCUCCACAGGCCCUGUGAACCAAGCCACGGGAGCAGGUGCCUGGAACCGGACUUUGGAAGCAAGGAAAGGCCCAGGGCGGUGGGCCUCGGUCUGAAACAAGUGUCUUUAUUGCUUGUACCGUACAAACACGAGGGACGAGGACAGGCCAGUGGGGAGGAAGGAGAACUGUCAGAUUAACGACAUACACACACACAAAGAAAAAAAAGAACCCCACCCGUCCAAACCAAGCCCCACCCCACCCCACCCCACCCCACGAUGUCUCUCUGUGAACUGCCUACAGGCGAGGUGGGGCGAGCAAAACCACAAAAACUCCAAACACCCAGAGAUGCUGGGGGGAGGGGAGGCACAGGGGCAACGAGUGGACCUCAGGCACGGCUCCCCUGCUUGGCCAGCACAUCCCCCCCGCCAGGAUGAAAUGCUUGGGCCGGGGGGUGGGGCGGGCCACACAGACCACGGACACCGGAGGCCAGGACACACUUGCCCUCACACACACAUACCCGACACACACGCACACACACCUCCCACAUGCACCUGCAUCCCAGAUGCACAGGGACACCCACAGACACACACAGUCCGAGGCACACACCAAGUGCCCACAGCGCUGACAGGUUCACCUUAAGGCUGCAGAAUGUGGGGCCCGGAGAAGGGGUGGGGAGGCGGCCUGGAGCCUCCCUUCUCAGAGGCCCCCAACCCAGUACGUACCAGACACCUGCCCUACCCCUUCUCUGACCCAAGUCCACAGGGCCCAAUACUGUCUCGGUGCGAGAUGUGUAACAGCUGAGGCUGGCACCCCUCCGCCCCAGACAGAGAGAAGGGGGACGAUCCGUGCCCCCCGCCUCAAAAGGGGCCAGGGCCAGGCCGGGGGUGCAACAGGAGGUAAGGCCGGCUGGAAGGAAGCCCUGGUAAGGCACGGGGCUGGUGGGCGGGGAGGCUAGCCUCCUCCACAGGGUCAGGAGAGCAGCUGAGGGGGUGCGGGUGGCAGGGGAGGCCCAGCAGGCAGCACCCACCCCCCAGAAUCCCUCCUAGUUCCCCACAGGAAGGAUGGGGCGCCACCCACGUGAGGGAGCCCUAAGCCCCCAUCCUGCACGCAGCUUCCAGAAGGCCCAUCCCUACCCUCUAUCCUCACCCCCUGUCCCUGGACAUUAUUGCUUUUCUGCCCCCAUGGGAGAAGGGGGCUGGACUGCCCCACGCCAGGCCACUGGGAGCCUAAUGACAGGGCAAGGAAGGCAGCACCAGGGCGCUGUCCACCAGGCGGCCCGCCCGAAGGGAGCCUCUGACAGAAGCAGCAGCACGGGCAGGCAGCCUGCGGGCGCCCCGACCAGAAAUCCGCAUAGACCCCACGGCUCCACGCUUCGCCCUUCACUCUGUGUUGGGCUUUGGGUUGAUUAAAAACUGAAAUCUCUCCAACCGCCCAAAGGCCCGGUGGUCCUGGGGCAGGAGGUGGAGAGUCUCCCGAACCCUGGUCUGGGCACAAAGGAGAAGGCAGGACAGGACUCUGGAGGCAGGGCCACUGGGACCGCUGAGGUGCGUUUGGCAGAGGGCUGAAGAAAAAACUGGAAACGGGGGUAAGGAGAUGAGGAAUGGGGACACAAACAAAAAGGGCGAAAUAAAAAGUUUAAAAAAAAAAAAGAAA